AACGAACGCUGGCGGCGCGCCUAAUACAUGCAAGUCGAGCGAGGAGGUGUAGCAAUACACUUGUAAAGCGGCGAACGGGUGAGGAAUGCAUGGGUAACCUACCCUCGAGUGGGGAAUAACUAGCCGAAAGGUUAGCUAAUACCGCAUACGUUUCCGGAACUUCGGUUUCGGAAAGAAAGCAAUACCGUGGGUAUUGCGCUCCUGGAUGGGCUCAUGUCCUAUCAGCUUGUUGGUGAGGUAACGGCUCACCAAGGCUUCGACGGGUAGCUGGUCUGAGAGGACGAUCAGCCACACUGGCACUGCGACACGGGCCAGACUCCUACGGGAGGCAGCAGUAAGGAAUAUUGCGCAAUGGACGAAAGUCUGACGCAGCGACGCCGCGUGGGGGGAUGAAGGUCUUCGGAUUGUAAACCCCUUUUGGGAGGGAAGAUGGAGUGGGUAACCACUUGGACGGUACCUCCAGAAGCAGCCACGGCUAACUUCGUGCCAGCAG
rnacentral:rRNA from 1 species